rnacentral:rRNA from 1 species
GUUUGAUCCUGGCUCAGGACGAACGCUGGCGGCGUGCCUAAUACAUGCAAGUCGAGCGGACAGAUGGGAGCUUGCUCCCUGAUGUUAGCGGCGGACGGGUGAGUAACACGUGGGUAACCUGCCUGUAAGACUGGGAUAACUCCGGGAAACCGGGGCUAAUACCGGAUGGUUGUUUGAACCGCAUGGUUCAAACAUAAAAGGUGGCUUCGGCUACCACUUACAGAUGGACCCGCGGCGCAUUAGCUAGUUGGUGAGGUAACGGCUCACCAAGGCGACGAUGCGUAGCCGACCUGAGAGGGUGAUCGGCCACACUGGGACUGAGACACGGCCCAGACUCCUACGGGAGGCAGCAGUAGGGAAUCUUCCGCAAUGGACGAAAGUCUGACGGAGCAACGCCGCGUGAGUGAUGAAGGUUUUCGGAUCGUAAAGCUCUGUUGUUAGGGAAGAACAAGUACCGUUCGAAUAGGGCGGUACCUUGACGGUACCUAACCAGAAAGCCACGGCUAACUACGUGCCAGCAGCCGCGGUAAUACGUAGGUGGCAAGCGUUAUCCGGAAUUAUUGGGCGUAAAGAGGGAGCAGGCGGCAGCAAGGGUCUGUGGUGAAAGCCUGAAGCUUAACUUCAGUAAGCCAUAGAAACCAGGCAGCUAGAGUGCAGGAGAGGAUCGUGGAAUUCCAUGUGUAGCGGUGAAAUGCGUAGAUAUAUGGAGGAACACCAGUGGCGAAGGCGGUCGCCUGGUCUGUAACUGACACUGAGGCACGAAAGCGUGGGGAGCAAAUAGGAUUAGAUACCCUAGUAGUCCACGCCGUAAACGAUGAGUACUAAGUGUUGGGAGUCAAAUUUCAGUGCUGCAGUUAACGCAAUAAGUACUCCGCCUGAGUAGUACGUUCGCAAGAAUGAAACUCAAAGGAAUUGACGGGGGCCCGCACAAGCGGUGGAGCAUGU